UACAGAGGGGGCGAGCGUUAUUCGGAAUUAUUGGGCGUAAAGGGUGCGUAGGCGGGUCUUUUAAGUCAGGGGUGAAAUCCUGGAGCUCAACUCCAGAACUGCCUUUGAUACUGAAGAUCUUGAGUUCGGGAGAGGUGAGUGGAACUGCGAGUGUAGAGGUGAAAUUCGUAGAUAUUCGCAAGAACACCAGUGGCGAAGGCGACUCACUGGACACGUAUUGACGCUGAGGUGCGAAAGCGUGGGGAGCAAACAGGG
rnacentral:rRNA from 1 species